rnacentral:lncRNA from 1 species
CGUCGGAUCGUACUUGAUGUGUGAAGGACCCCUGCCCCUUUUCUCUGCAAAACCACAUGCCAGGCUCGUGGAUGAUCCAAAAAUGGCCAAGACGGGUAGGGUGGCGACAGGAUAUGGCGAAUGAAGGGCUGGAUAUGUCAAAUGCUAACUUUGGAGCUCCAAGCAUUAACCAUUAUAUCCCCAGCACCUAAGAAAGUGGUGGUAUCAAAGACUGGACAGAUGGAUGGACAGACGGAUACCAGGUAUGGCAUUAUCUAUCCUGUCGCAAUCCAUUUCCAACUUACCAAAUGCUGCCUCGCCCCUGCCUCAUUCACGAUGGCCUCUGGUCUCCCUGUUGUAUGGACGGAACACACCCUUGAGCUUCCAAUCUCCUCACUAGAUGUCCCCCUUUCUGCCCCACUCAGGGGUCACCAUUCAAGACACUACUCAAAUUUGCCAUCAGCUAUCUCAGCUUCCAGAAUCUUUUUUUUUUUUUUUUACUUAUUUAUUUGA